GUUGGAUGUGGUGGCGCACACCUGUAAUCCCAGCAACUAGGAAGGCUGAGACAGGGGAUCACAAGUUUGAGGCCAGCUUCAGCAACUUAGUGAAACCCUGUCUCAA
rnacentral:sRNA from 1 species